rnacentral:rRNA from 1 species
UACGUAGGGUGCAGGCGUUAAUCGGAAUUACUGGGCGUAAAGCGUGCGCAGGCGGUUUGCUAAGACAGGUGGGAAAUCCCCGGGCUUAACCUGGGAACUGCGCUUGUAACUGGCAAGCUGGAGUGUGGCAGAGGGGGGUGGAAUUCCACGUGUAGCAGUGAAAUGCGUAGAGAUGUGGAGGAACACCGAUGGCGAAGGCAGCCCCCUGGGUUAACACUGACGCUCAGGCACGAAAGCGUGGGGAGCAAACAGG